GGGGGACUGGACCGUUAUUGACCCGGAGGGACUGGGCCGGUACUGACUGGACCGGUAAUGACCCUGGGGGACUGGACCGGUACUGACCCUGGGGGACUGGACCGUUACUGACUGGACAGGUACUGACCCUGGGGGACUGGACCGGUACUGACUGGACAGGUACUGACCCUGGGGGACUGGACCGGUACUGACUGGACCGGUACUGACCCUGGGGGACUGGACCGGUACUGACUGGACAGGUACUGACCCUGGGGGACUGGACCGGUACUGACUGGACCGGUACUGACCCUGGGGGACUGGACCGGUACUGACUGGACAGGUACUGACCCUGGGGGACUGGACCGGUACUGACUGGACCGGUACUGACCCUGGGGGACUGGACCGGUACUGACUGGACCGGUACUGACUGGACAGGUACUGACUGGACCGGUACUGACCCUGGGGGACUGGACCGGUACUGACCCUGGGGGACUGGACCGGUCCUGACCCUGGGGGACUGGACC